ensembl:snRNA U6 U6 spliceosomal RNA
AGCUAAUUGAUAGGCAGUAUGAAAAAGGUUCUCCGAUACAGAGAUUAGCAUAGCCCCUGUGCAAAGAUGACACGCAAAUUCGUGAAGUGUUCCAUGUUUUU